GACGAACGCUGGCGGCGUGGAUUAGGCAUGCAAGUCGAACGGUAUCAUCCUUUCGGGGGUGAGAGAGUGGCGAACUGGUGAGUAACACGUAGGUUAUCUACCCUCAAGACGGGGACAACCCAGGGAAACUUGGGCUAAUACCGGAUGUGAGCAACUUUUAGUUGUUUGAAAGGUGGCGUAAGCUGUCGCUUGGGGAUGAGCCUGCGUCCUAUUAGUUAGUUGGUGAGGUAACGGCUCACCUAGGCAAUGAUAGGUAGGCGGCCUUAACGGGUGGUCGCCCACACUGGGAUUGAGAUACGGCCCAGACUCCUACGGGAGGCAGCAGUCGAGAAUAGUCUACAAUGGUCGGAAGACUGAUAGUGCGACGCCGCGUGAACGAUGAAUCCCUUCGGGGUGUAAAGUUCUUUUAUAUGUGAGCAGUGCUUCUUACAUUAACAGUAUGGGGAGAGAGAUAUUAGCAUAUGAAUAAGCAACGGCUAACUCCGUGCCAGCAGCCGCGGUAAU
rnacentral:rRNA from 1 species